UCGUCCAUUUUAAGCAAGAGUUCUUUAUCGAGUUCAAUUAAUACAGGAGCUUUGACCAAAUUGAUGUUACAAUCAAGUGAAUCAUCUUUGACCUAUAACGUUACUGAAGUUCGAGUAGGUACAACGUAAAAAGAAGAGACAACUGAAUUUAAGUGUUCAGAAUACAUCGAAUGGUAACACUAGUACUGAUAGUAGUGCUAAGAGAAGGAGUAUUAUGGCAAUGAAAACAUACUUUAAUGGAUAACUUUAAUAAUGAAAAUAUCUUUGCAGUAUAUCUCCUUCUACAGUUGCAACGAAAAAUGUUAAACUGAAACGUAGACAGGAAACUUACCGUUCAGUCUUUACGAAACGAAAUUAAGGACGGAUUAUUCAAGGCCCUGCAUUAAGACAAAAAUUAAAUAAUUAUUUUCAACCAUCAGUAAAUAAAUAUGUUACGUUA